GGCGCAACGAUGCGCCCUCCUCCCCGGUCUUUUUUUUUUUGAAAAGUCCUCCUCCCCGGUCUCCCUCCACGGCUCGCGCAUGAGGCCUCCUCGCGCAUCGCCCCGCCGCAUCCGCCUCUCCGCCGCCCCCAAACCGCCGCUCCGGCCCCGCAAUCCGCCGCGCCGCCACCCCAAUCCGCCGCUCCAGCACCCAAUCCGGCCCACGACGGCCCUCAUCCGCCGCGGGGGUACAUGCCACCGCGCAUUCCCUCCCCUCCAGAAGCUCGGUCCGGCCUCGAUCCGCCGCCGGCUCCUUGCUCCGCCCGGUGAGCCGUCCCCCGUGGUUGCUUCCCCAUACUCCGUGGGCCUGGAUCCGCGAGGCCGGCGACCCUCGUGCUCCGUUGCGUGCCCCUUCCUCUGUUCACUGGCACCGGCCCCCCUCUCCAUCCGGCCCCCAUGCGCCCUUCAACCCCCUCCGCCGCGGCGCCCCCGUUGGUCGUUGCAUCGGCCACCAUCCUCGUCGGGUCGGCCCGGAUCCACUCUUUGGCAGCACGGCUGUACUCCCGUAUGCAGCACGCCGCCUCCGUUGCCGCUCCCAUUUGCGCCGCCGCCGGCCUCACCUGCCAUCCGGCCCCCUAGGCCGCUUGCCGCCUGCCAUCCCCCCGCAAUGCCACUUUUUCAGGGCCGCCCCAUGGCCGGAGGAGGGGAGGACCCCUUCCGUACCUACUCCCAGCCGGACCCCCGGUUUGCCUCCGGGUAUUACCCCUUGUUCCCCUCUUCUUGGACCCAACCGGGGGCCGCCGGAGGCAGCCAACCGCAACCGCAUGGGUUCUCCGGAGCCAUGAAUGCGCCGUCCCAUGCCUUUUCUGGGUACGACCAGAACGCCCUGUUCUUCGCCUCGUCCGCUAGCGCAACGGCGGCCGCCGGAGGCAUGGCUGGCCCGGCGCAUGGGUACUCAGGGUACGGCCUCACCUCGGGGUUCUUCGAAUUAGCCCCACACGCUGGGUACGCCCCAUUGCAGAACCCGCAAGGCAUUCGACAUCCUCCCCGGCACCAUGGCAAGGUGGCCCCUAUGCAUCCCUUCCGCCGAUUCCGAGGCCUCCAGUUCCGAGCUCAUACGGAGGUUAUGACGAGGGCAGUAGUAGGUAUGCCCCUGUUGACAUGGCACCGCCCCCCCCCACACCCAUGGUAUGCGCCGCCUAUGGGCGAUGAUCCCGCUUCGUCUGCAGUACCUGGACAUCCAAGGACCCGAAGCCAGUCACGCAGGCAGGCCGUGUCCCCCGUUGCUGAUCGGUCUACCAACGACGAUUCAAUGGCAUCGGAUGGUGGCGACGAUGACUUGUCCUUGGCCUCCAGUAGUGGUGACAAUGCAGGAUUUAUUGGAAACGCUGCAGGCGUGCAAGAAGACGAAGGCGACGUGGACAGCUCGGGAUCCGAAGCGGACGACAGCAGUUCCGAAGGAGAAUCAAGUUGGGGAAGUGAAGGUAACUCCAGUUCUGAGGUUUAUGAAGAGUUGUACAAGGAUUGGGAAGAAUUGUUUGGAAAAGAAAAUCCUGUGUUCAAGGGCAUGAAGAUUGUCAUGGAGAGUACGAGGAUGACAACUAAACUUAUGAAGAAGGCCAUCGUUCUAGCACGCCAGCUCCACGCGGCCGCAGAUUCCCGGCCCGCCUCCUCCAGCACGCCAUACGGCUGCAGCGUCCUCCCUCCCGCUGUGACGCGGAACGCGCUAAGGAGCUCGACGGCGAUGCGCGUGCAGGCGACCUCCACGACGAUGGCGACGGGGUGGUGCUGGUGGAGAACGUGGUGCGCCAGCCGCACGCCGCGCUCCCGCGGGUGCAUCGCCCAUAGCACCAUCAGGCCGCACUCGACCUGCCUCCCUCUCUUGCUCGCCUCCGGUUCUCCUCCUCCCGAGCUAGCACACUAAACAGCUCACCCCCGACUCCCUGAAGCCUCUUCCCUACCUCAUCUGUUGGUGGAGAAGCUGCAUGGUGACACUUCAAAUGAAUGACACCCAGCCGCCCACCAACCACUCGGGAAAUGCCUCCAAGGCAAUGUGUUACCUGGACAACAUCCUCAGGAGUUGUAGCAACUAAUGUACACGGACAUCUAGAUAAAUCCGAUAUUAUUUUCCUGCUAUCUAGUUAUUUCUAAUGCAGGAACAAGUCAUACAAAAAAAAAAGCUGAAAGCACAUACAUUGGCCACUGUACUACCCAUUUCUUCCAAGUUUUGUGGAAUAGCUAUGUGUGUCAUUUGUGCUCUGAUUGAUUCAAGUUCUGAAGAUGAGAGUCCCAACAGCUGACAGUAUCAUAAGGCGUGGAGGGCAAGCGAUUCUGAUCUAUCAGUUGUGUCAAGCAAGGGAUGAAUCGACAAUGCACCUUAUGGCCAAGUGCUCAUAUGGAGAACAAGUGUGGAACAUGGUGGCGGCACGAAUCAACCGGUGAUUCCCCAACUUAAUGAUGUGCACCAAAUCAAAGAAUGGUGGGCUGGAAUGACUACUGCAAACAACCUGCAAUCACACUUGCACGUCAUCAUAUACACAGCAUAGAUUCUACAGAUAGGAGCAGGGUUAUUCGACUGACUAUGUAUAGAUAGAUUGUACUUUUGUGCAUAAUCUUGUUUUCUCUCGCUUACCCAAAUUGUAAAUACUUUGCUUCCUACUAUAAUGAAAGAGCAGAGCACCUGUUAUUUUCCUCAAAUAAAAAACUUCUGAUGAAGAGGUUGCUACUGCCUA